rnacentral:rRNA from 1 species
GACGAACGCUGGCGGCGUGCUUAACACAUGCAAGUCGAACGGAAAGGCCCUGCUUUUGUGGGGUGCUCGAGUGGCGAACGGGUGAGUAACACGUGAGUAACCUGCCCUUGACUUUGGGAUAACUUCAGGAAACUGGGGCUAAUACCGGAUAGGAGCUCCGGCUGCAUGGUGGGGGUUGGAAAGUUUCGGCGGUUGGGGAUGGACUCGCGGCUUAUCAGCUUGUUGGUGGGGUAGUGGCUUACCAAGGCUUUGACGGGUAGCCGGCCUGAGAGGGUGACCGGCCACAUUGGGACUGAGAUACGGCCCAGACUCCUACGGGAGGCAGCAGUGGGGAAUAUUGCACAAUGGGCGGAAGCCUGAUGCAGCAACGCCGCGUGCGGGAUGACGGCCUUCGGGUUGUAAACCGCUUUCGCCUGUGACGAAGCGUGAGUGACGGUACUGGGUAAAGAAGCACCGGCUAACUACGUG